rnacentral:rRNA from 1 species
AGGAAGGCUCGUCCGCUCUGGGUUAGUCGGGUCCUAAGCUGAGGCCGACAGGCGUAGGCGAUGGAUAACAGGUUGAUAUUCCUGUACCACCUAUAAUCGUUUUAAUCGAUGGGGGGACGCAGUAGGAUAGGCGAAGCGUGCGAUUGGAUUGCACGUCUAAGCAGUAAGGCUGAGUAUUAGGCAAAUCCGGUACUCGUUAAGGCUGAGCUGUGAUGGGGAGAAGACAUUGUGUCUUCGAGUCGUUGAUUUCACACUGCCGAGAAAAGCCUCUAGAUAGAAAAUAGGUGCCCGUACCGCAAACCGACACAGGUAGUCAAGAUGAGAAUUCUAAGGUGAGCGAGCGAACUCUCGUUAAGGAACUCGGCAAAAUGACCCCGUAACUUCGGGAGAAGGGGUGCUCUUUAGGGUUAACGCCCAGAAGAGCCGCAGUGAAUAGGCCCAAGCGACUGUUUAUCAAAAACACAGGUCUCUGCUAAACCGUAAGGUGAUGUAUAGGGGCUGACGCCUGCCCGGUGCUGGAAGGUUAAGAGGAGUGGUUAGCUUCUGCGAAGCUACGAAUCGAAGCCCCAGUAAACGGCGGCCGUAACUAUAACGGUCCUAAGGUAGCGAAAUUCCUUGUCGGGUAAGUUCCGACCCGCACGAAAGGCGUAACGAUUUGGGCACUGUCUCAACGAGAGACUCGGUGAAAUCAUAGUACCUGUGAAGAUGCAGGUUACCC